CUCUCGGUCCUCUUUCUUUCCCUCCAUCAGUGUUGUCACCACCUAUUUCAAGGCGAGCCUGGAUUGCGGAACUCUGGGACGAGGAGAUGGGUCUAGGAGGCCUUGGAUGAGGGGUGGGGGACUUAGCGCCCGGGACACAACGGGCUGCGGGAGGGGCUGCCCACCACCAGGUGGGCCUUGGGAGGGGCUGCCUAGGGCGUGGGCUUCCUCCAAGACGUGAUCGCCAAGAGAGCGAGCCAGACCGCCGGCCAGGGCGCCUAGCUCAGGAGACAGAUGCAGGGGGCGUGGGCGGGGCUAGGACUGACCUGACGCCCCGACCCCCGCGCAGGGACCCGAGAGUCCCUGAGCGUGAACUGCCUCUGCCGGACUUCAUCUCGUCAGGUGGGAAAGUCGCAGGGAUAUCGUCAGGGCGGAAAGGCCCCUCCCCCCUUCAGAAGUGGUGGCCGGUGAGACCCUGCCCAGCCCUGCGCAGUGGGUGUGCUAGGAGCAUGUUGGCCUAUUUGGCCUGAGUUUGUCCAGCAUCCCAGAGGGACAGUCCACCUCGAACCCCCAAAGGGAGGGGCGGGGCUCCAGACGGGUCCCACUCAGGUCUGUUUAAAGUUUUCCCGUUUGGCUGAAAGAUCAGAUCGAUGCAAGGGCACGUGUAAAAGCCACUUUAUGGGCAAAGGACAUUGAAGAGGGGCGGUCCCUGUGCGCACGCAGGGAGGAGAGCGCUGGGAGGAGGAGAUGGGAAUCUGUCACUUUCGCGACCUUAUCCGCUUAUUCACGCAUCAGGAAUGCAGAGGGGUAGGUCCAAAACAGAACAGAGUGUGGCAAACUUUUUUUUUUAAACCCCCCCCCCGUGCCAUCUUCUGCUGUGGUGACUCACAGUGAUACGCCAGGUGGCGGCGCUGUUGAUCUCUGAACGAACCCAAAGAGGUUGGAGAGCCUCAAACUUGCUGGGCUGAACCGGUUCAGGGUGUGGGGAGGCAGAGGCUUCUCCCUGGGCAGGACACAGCGGUCCAGGAUACCCCGGCUUACCCGGCAUUUGGGCUUCCGCAUCCAGCAGAGCUCAGAACUUGCGAGAGAACAGGAGAGUGUGGCGUCCUGUCACGUGGAAGACAAGUACCUGCCUUGGCCACAGUGACCGAGGGGGUGGGGCUGGGCAGGGCCUCUCUGAAAGUGAAAGGGAGGCACCAUGGUCCCGCUACACUCCCUAGGGUGCAGAGCCCGCAGGGCAGAGACCCCUGGAUAUCCCGCUGCCCCUUUCCCCACAGAAACGGGACGCUGAAGUCUGAGUGGGCGCCACCACUCUUCUGGAGGAGAAAGCAAAGACCCCAGGUUGGAGAGCCACGCUGUCCCAGGUGGGAGCAGGGCAGGCGCUGGCCUGACAUUCCACCACGGGCUGUAGGCAUGAGUCAGGCGUCACGGCUCAAGUGCACGCCUGCGCCUGAGCAGGGCUGUCUCCCUGCAGCCCUGGAGCUGGGCGGGUGCCAGACACCAGCUGGUACUCGCUGGACAGAGAUCUCAGAGGUGAGUGCACGAGACAAGAAAGGGCACAGGACCAGUCAUACCCUUUGCUCAACAUUUACAGUGAAUUUCAGGACUGGGACAGCAAAGCAGUAUGCAGAGGCUGAUGCCGUCCUGCCCAGGAGUUGAGAGACGUUCAAGCACCAGGUCUAGCCCCCACCAGGCUUGGAUGGAUUCUGGCUGAUUCAUCGUGGCCCUCUUUGGUGGGAUGUCCUAUUCAGGUCUCCUUGAGACCAUUCAAACUUUACUACAAAGCUACAGCAAUCAAAACAGCGUGGUUCGCACAAGGAAAGACAACCGAUGACACAGAAUUGAGAGCCAAAAAAAAACCUUUGAAGACAUACAGAUGGCCAACAGGCACAUGGAAAGAUGCUCAAAAAUAAACAUUUUUGUAUUUAAUCACUGUUAGUCAGUUAACUCCCACAAGGGUGCCGAGACAAUCAAGUGGAGGAGAGGAGGGUCCCUUCAACACAGGGCGGUGCGCUGACGGGCUGUCCACGUGACACAGGCGGGGCCCUGCUCCCGCUCGCGUGCAGAAAGCAGCUCACGGUGGAGAAGAGGCCUAAUGUAAGGGCUAGACCCAGAAGGCCCUUAGAAGGAGGAAACACUUAGUAUAAAUGUGGCCUGGGAUUGGCCAGGAGCUCCUCAGAUAUGACACCAAAAGCACAAGCAGCAGAAAAAACAGAUAAAUCGGGUAUCACCGGGAUUUACAAAGUUUUGUCCUUCAAGGUGAGAAGACCAUCUGCAGAAUGGGAGAAUGGGAGACGAUAUUUGCAACUCACGUGUCUGAUAGGAGGCAAGUCUCCAGAAUCUAUAAAGAACUAUUGCAAGUCAGUACUAAAAAGACAGCUAACCCAAUGAAGACGCAGGUAAAAAUCUGAACAGAUCUUUAUCUAAAGAAGACCGACAGACGGCCAGUCAGCACGUGAAGAGGGGCGCAGCAUCACGGGCAUCAAGGAAACGUCAACCAGCACCACCUGGAGAUGCGGUUCACUCCCACCAGGGAGGCUGGAACAAGAGACACAUACUAGCAGGCGCUGACAAGGGCACAGAGAACCUGGAGCCCGCGUACGUCGCAGUGGGGACGCAUAGAAGUGCGCGGUGGCACCGCCACGCUGAGAACGCCACUCGGCAGCUCCUCAGGACGCCAAUCGUGCGGUUACUGUGGGACCCAGUCGUUCUGCUCCCCGGUGUACACCUGGGACAAAUCAAGGCACACGUCCCCACAAACAGCAGCACACACUUGUGUUCCACUGGGCUGGGGACGGAUGCUUCCUCCUUGGAACUGGAGAAGCAUCACCGACAGGCAGCUGACCUCCGGAGAGCUCGGAGUCCGCAGAGGCAGGGACAGUUCUGGCAGCAGCACCCGUGGUGCAGACUUAGCGCCCCGCCGGUCCUCCUGCAGCGGGACGCAUGCACACAGCUGAUGACAAAUAAGUUCCGAGCCUGAAGUGCGUCAGAGACACUUCACGACUCUCUUCUUUCUCACAGUGUUUGCCCUUCUGCUCUUGAGCUUGGAUUUUAUCUUGUAAUCUCAAAGUCGUAUUUCAUUGGAAAUUAAGCUAUCUCUGACUCCAGGGGAAAUAAUGAUUGAAAAAAAUAUUUGGCUUCCUGUUUCCCAGAGAACGUUCGCCACCGUUUCCAUUUCUGGCCCAGCUCUAUCUUUCCAGAGAGCUGAGAAUGUCACGCAAAUGAGUCAGUACUCCCGCUCAGUAGAAGUGACAGAAAUGUGGACACCCUGCCCAGAAUGUCCGUGCGGCGCAGCCUUUGGCAGUGGGAGAGGUAGCUGGGGCUGGAAACAGGGUGGCCCACUGAAGGAGAGGAGGGACGGCGCGGCUCCCACCGCCCGGCCUCCCAGCAGGACAGCGCGGCCAGCAGCCACACCUGGGGCUUGCUAGGGUGCGUGUCUCUGACCCCACCCUGUGCCUCCUCCCUGAUCAGAAUCUGCCUUUGACAAGAUGCCGGGGGUGGGGCCGUGCGCACACACGCUCCCGCACAGUUGUGCGGGAGAAAGAGCCAGCCCAGCAGCCGAGUGGCCGGGUUUAGACCCUCCACGGAGACUCUGCCUCUUCCCUCCCCCUCCCAGAGCAUCAUUGACCCUCUCGAGUUGGGUACAAAGGAGCCCAGGACCAGAGGCAUCCACGUUCGUCCCCUCUCCACCGACACCCCGUCACCCCGUGCUGGUCAGGAAGGCGGACUCCCGGGCCCAGCCUGGACUGCUGGCUCAGACACCCCAGGGCUUGGGCGCAGCCCUCUGGGUUUGGGCAGACGCUUCGGGGAUUCUGAUGCCGGAGCAGGGCGUGAGACGUGGAAGACGUGGCCCCCGAGGCUCUGGUCACCCCCACCCUUCCCCUGGAUCCUUCUGGUCCGCUUUGGCUCCUCGCCCCGGCAACGCUUCCUGCGUGCAGACCCCAUCUGACCAAGUAGUGGAAAUAGACUUUUCAGCCACGCUAAGCGGAACCUGUAAAGUUUUGCCACAAAGACGGAAGGUACAGCAGGUGUCACGAUCACAAGGCUGAAAGUCAUGCACUGGGGUGAAGGCAAGAAAGCUGAAGGGGUCCAGGUUGCUGAGGAACGCGGAACUCCAGCCCCAGGCCCGGACCAUCCGCUCCCGCACUUCUGCCUCAGGAGGUGCCACGUUAAGUAUGUGACGGAGACCAUUCCAUUGAAUCCUCACGACAAACAAGCAUCGAAGUGACUCAUGUCCCCGCUGUGCAGACGAGGAGGCGAACGCGUUCGUGAUCAUCGCCCUGUGUUUGUUUUCUUCUCGGUGCGUCUGUGUCAUCUCCUCAGUAGGUGGACAAGCUCCCUGGAGGUACAGCCACGUCCUAUACCCUGUACUCUGCGCACAGUGUGAAAGCUGAAGUGUCUGUCAAGUGAUGACUCUCUCUCCGAGGCAGGAGCCUCACCGGCUCCAUCAGCUCCGCUGUCCGUGCUGUCUGCCACGUCUGCUCUCCCUCUGUCACUUGGUCCCCAAGGACCAACCUUCCAAGACUACGGUCCUCCCGGGGCUGCGCGGGGCUGCUGAGGCCCCGGGUGCCGCACGAGUCUCACAGGGAGCCGGGUGGCAGGGCGGUCAGACCUGGCCUUGUGGAAGCUGAGGGAUGGGGCGUGCAGGGGUGGGGCAGCCCGGGAGGGCCCUUUGGCCGAAGGCAGAUGGCCAUGUAGGUGGAGACAGACCAGAUAACUUCCAGCACGCAGUUCCUUUCUGUUUAGCAACUGGCUUGGAUUUUAAAGUCCAUUGAUUGGCGUGUUCCUGUCUGUGAGAUGUGGCUCACAGCCAUUGUUCUGUGAUGUCUCACACACACAUACACACAGGCACGCACACACACACACACGUGCACACAUACACACAAGCACACGUGCAUGCACGCAAACACAUGUGCACGCACGCACACACACAUACGCACACCCACGUCCCCCUUCCCAGCCCCUCCCGCCGGCUCUGUGUCUACUGGUCUGUCUUAAACUAACUCUUAACAGAUUUCACUUGGAGUGAAAGGAGACUUAAAAGGCCAAACUUCCUCUGCCUUCAUUUUCUUUAUGAUUUGGGGUCAAAAAAGGCCAUCUCUUUGAACGACACACUUUAUACACAAAAUAAACAGGAGGAGCCGUGUCUCCCUCUGUGAUCCUCCAUCCACGCUCAGAAGGUCGCUGGUCUGGAAGCAGAGCAAGGGCCUGGAGGGCCGCCCGGGUUUCUCUGCAGGUCCUGGCCCUGGCACCUGCUGCGGGGGGUGGGGGGACACACCGCUCACCGGGCCUUUGUUUAUUUCUUCUGGUCUGUUUGCUCGUCUGUCGAGCUAACACCCGAGUGGGUUCCAGACAACGUGGCUCCAAAUUUUGAAAUAACAAAUGAAUCCUCUUUCUCGAGAAGAAUACAUGUCCUCUGCGAACACCACUCAGCACGUAGCAAAAGUUAACAGCGUUUCAUUCCAGCCACAGACCAGUAAGCCUCAAAUCCAGGCUCUGGGAGCAGCAGGGCUGCUCCGGGCAUCUGGUCUCUUCUGCGCGAUGAGAAAAGUCUCUUAAAGGCAGGCCCUGACGCUGCCACGCACACCGGUCUCACUUCAGACCUGGCGUCUGCCGCACCCGGAGUUUUGCCGAGGCUGCUUUUACUUACAAAUUCAAAUGACAGGAAAGGUGGUUUCCACAGUAAAGACGCUCCCCUGGAAGUACAGGACUAAAGACCCGGGGCAGGUCUGCCUGUGGCCGUCGCGCAGGAGGAGACGCAGGCGGGUGCCUUGAAGGUGGAGGGGGGAGAAGGAACAGGGCACUGUGGGUUUGAAAAGUGAACCCUCAGCGUGGGGUUGGGGCGCGGCGGGGAGCAGACAGGGGAGACCCCGUCCUCAGGGUGUACAUGAAUGUUUCCGUGGAGGCCAGUGAAACGGAGGGUGUGAACGAUUUCUGCGCUGCCCUGGAGCCAGGUAGGGACAUUGGUCCCAGGAAGGGUGCCUCCCCGAUCGUAACAGCUGAGCGCAGGGCUGCGACAAGCAACCAGCGCUGGAGGCAUGCAGAGUACAAGCCCGUACACUCAUCCGUCUUUUGUUACCGCUGAAAUAGUGACGUCCGAGGCGGUCACAUUCCCCUGUUCCACAAAAAAUACUGGCCACAACUUGGAAACCUCUGUUUUCUACAUAACAUGCAAAAGCAGGGGUCUAAAGUCAGCUAUACUGGGGUGCAAGUCACACAAGGAAAUGAGCCCACUUUACGUGCAUGGUCUGAGGGCUUCUGACCAACGCGAACCCCGACGUGACCACCAGCCAGUCAUGACGCAGAGCGUUCCCGUUCAGGGAGUCCCUCAAGUCCUUAGUAGCCAGUCCCCGCUCGCCGCUCACACAGCCCCCGAGCUUCCUCCUUUACUGCACAUUAGUGUCACCUACCGCAGAACUUCAGAGGCAGGGGACCCUGCGGGGCCCACCCUGCUGUGUCUGGCUUACUUUGUACACGGUGGUUUUGAAAUGUGUCAUUGUGCGCACAUCAAAGUCUUUAGUUGAGGAGUGUCCCACUGUGCGGAUAAGUGGCAGCCUUUAUCCAAGCCCGGCUGAUGACUAGCUGGGCGUUUUCUGGUCCAGGCUCUAUAAAUAAACCUCUCGUGAGUAACUUGUGGCCAAGUCGUGAGGGUCAUGGUUUCGCUGUCCUUGAGCAAAAGUCCAAGAGUGGAAUUGCUAGGUCAUGUGCGUGUGUUUAACUUUCUAAGAGACUGACUUCGACGAAGUGGCACCACUGACGUUCCCAUCACUGUGAGUGAGUCCGGUGGAGAAGUAGCCGCUGACGACCAGGUAGAACCACGCCUCCUCCAGUGCACAUGAGCGCAUCGCUGUGACCAGGACGGAGUGGGGAAGGCCCAGUGGGGCCCAUGAAGGAGCAGGCAUGGGACCUGCCCUCCGAUACCCAGGAGGAGGGGCGGCGGGGCUCAGGGGCACAAUCUCUGGGGACGGCAGAGAGGUUUUGAGCAGUUCUUGUGAGUGCGUGUGUGUGUGUGUGUGUGUGUAGGAGGGGCCCCUUGACCAUCGACUUGACCUUCAUCUGGGCACCCCCUCCCAGUUUCCUUCCCUUCCCCUCCUGCCCUUCCCCCGUCUCUGUUUACCCUCCUCCCUCCUCCCCAUCGCCUCCCUCCCCUCUCCCUCCCCCUCCCUCCUUCCCCCCUCCCUCC